rnacentral:miRNA from 1 species
CGUCCCUGACUCAAUGGUUC